rnacentral:rRNA from 1 species
GAUGAACGCUAGCGGGAGGCCUAACACAUGCAAGCCGAGCGGUAGAGAUUCUUCGGAAUCUUGAGAGCGGCGUACGGGUGCGGAACACGUGUGCAACCUGCCUUUAUCAGGGGGAUAGCCUUUCGAAAGGAAGAUUAAUACCCCAUAAUAUAUUUGAUGGCAUCAUUAGAUAUUGAAAGCUUUGGCGGAUAGAGAUGGGCACGCGCAAGAUUAGAUAGUUGGUGAGGUAACGGCUCACCAAGUCGAUGAUCUUUAGGGGGCCUGAGAGGGUGAUCCCCCACACUGGUACUGGGACACGGACCAGACUCCUACGGGAGGCAGCAGUGAGGAAUAUUGGACAAUGGGUUAGCGCCUGAUCCAGCCAUCCCGCGUGAAGGACGACGGCCCUAUGGGUUGUAAGCUUCUUUUGUACAGGGAUAAACCUACUCUCGUGAGAGUAGCUGAAGGUACUGUACGAAUAAGCACCGGCUAACUCCGUG